UGCUUGGGUAGCUCAGUCGGUAGAGCGCUUGCCCGUGAAAGGCAAAGGUCCCGAGUUCGAGUCUCGGUCCAGCAC
rnacentral:tRNA from 1 species